UAUUUUGCAUUGAUAAUCAACACCAUUAAUUGAAAUUGAUCUAAAUUAUUAGAAAUAUUUAAAAAUCAAAAAUUGUAAUUUUUUUUAAAAAAUAUCAUCAAAUCUAUUGAAGAGUCGAAAAAUAAACGGUCAGGAAUGAAUAACUUUCUCAAAAUAGAGAUUAGACUUUUUUUAAUUCAUGAUCGGAGCUAUAAAACAUCAUCUAAAUAGUUUAAAAAAUUUUCUAUAAAAAUAUUAAUUGAGCUAUUUUGGAUUUCUUUA
rnacentral:lncRNA from 1 species